rnacentral:rRNA from 1 species
CAAUAGCGUAUAUUAAAGUUGUUGCGGUUAAAAAGCUCGUAGUUGGAUUUCUGCCGAGGACGUCCGGUCCGCCCUCUGGGUGAGUACAUGGCACGGCCUGGGCAUCUUCUUGGGGAACGUAUCUGCACUUGACUGUGUGGUGCGGUAUCCAGGACUUUACUUGAGGAAAUUAGAGUGUUCACGGCAGGCUUUCGCCUUGAAUACAUUAGCAUGGAAUAAUAAUAUAGGACCUUGGUUUUAUUUUGUUGGUUUCUAGAACUAAGGUAAUGAUUAAUAGGAUAAUUGGGGGCAUUCGUAUUAACGCGUCAGAGGUGGAAUUCUUGGAUUGCGUUACGACGAACUACUGCGAAAGCAUUUGCCAAGGAUGUUUUUCAUUGAUCAAGAACGAAAGUAUGGGGAUCGAAGACGAUCAGAU